UAUGGCCACUAUAGGGACACCAUAGGGACACCAUAGGGACGCCAAAGGGUCCCCAAUGCCACUAAAUGGGACCCCAAUGGGGACAGGACCACCUUGAGGACCCCCUGUGCCACCAAUGAAACCCCCCAGGGCCACUAAUGGGAUGGGACCACCUAUGGGACCCCCAGAGCCACUAAAUGGGGACCCCCAGGACAACCAAUAGGAUCCCCAUGGCCACCUUGGGAAUGGGACCACCAAUGGGACCCCCAUAGUCACCAAUGGGACCCCCAUGGCCACCAAUGGGGACAGGACCACCAAUGGGACCCCCAUAGUCACCAAUGGGACCCCCAUGGCCACCUUGGGGACCCCCAGGGCCACCAAUAGGACCCCCAGGACCACCAAUGGGACCCCCAUCUCCACCAAUGGGACCAUCAUAGUCAUUAAUGGGACCCCCAUGGCCACCAAUGGGACCCCCAUGGCCACCAAUGGGACCCCCAUAGACACCAAUGGGGACAGGACCACCAAUGGGACCCCCAUAGUCACCAAUGGGACCCCCAUGGCCACCUUGGGGACCCCCAUAGCCACCAAUGGGACCCCCAGGACCCCCAGGACCACCAAUGGGGACAGGACCACCAAUGGGACCCCCAUAGUCACCAAUGGGACCCCCAUAGCCAUUAAUGGGACCCCCAGGACCCCCAGUGGGACCCCCAUAGUCACCAAUGGGGACAGUACCACCAAUGGGACCCCCAAUGGGACCCCCAUAGUCACCAAUGGGACCCCCAUGUCCACCUUGGGGACCCCCAGGGCCACCAUGGGGGGGUGGGGGGGGUCAGGGCAGGAGCAGAUGGAACCAAUAAAGGUGCCACCAGAACUUGAUAACGUCCCCUGUGUCCUAUAGGGCGAAUAAAGGGUGUGGGGUGAGUGGGGUCGGCGAGGGG
rnacentral:lncRNA from 1 species